CUUAUUUAUACAUAUUUAUAUUCUUUCAUUUUUCCUUCUUUGCCCUCAGUACCCCCAGAUACUGAGAACUGAUGGUAUCAGUCUGUAGUCUGCGUGGAGGAGGGCUUGUGACAUGGCAACCUUUCCCCAGCUGUUUUCUCCUGGUGCUGCAUAAGGGUUUCUGCAAUGUGAUGCUGCACAGCCAGCUGGGCUGGAGAGGAGGAAAGGAGUGCUCUGUGGCAGGAAAAAUGUCUGUACCUGAGGGAGUGUGAGCCAGUGGCAAACAGCUGAAGGGAUGGGAUGCCUCAGAAAUCACUAGUCAGGUUGGAGAUGUGACAGCUUGCUAACAACAUGUCUGUUCAGUUACAGGGAUGAAUUGACAAAGGCUGAGAGCAAAUUCAGCUGCCGUCACUCCAGAAGCCCCACUGCUGAAUCAGCAAAUUUCUGCUCCCAGAAUACUGGAUGCAGCCAGUGUGUCAUUAUGAUGCAUGUCAAGAGACCUGCUGUUCUUUCCAUUAGUCCUUUAUGGUUGCCACCCUUUGGAAGUGCAGCUUCUUUUUCUUCUGGGCUUCCUUUGCUUCUCACACCUUUAGUUUCUGCAGCUCUGAGUGAACCUCCAGAGCAAGAUUUGGGAGGAGGGCACGGGGCUGCCUCUGCACUGCCUGUGCUGAGGCAUCUGCACUUGCUGCUUUUGGAGGCAACUUGGAGGGCUUCCAGUCAUCAGGGCCAAAGUCUCACUGGCACUGCCCUACUGGCAUGUCCCUGGUGGAACUAAGCUGCAGGUUGCUGCAUAUCAAAUGGGGAUGAUCCAGCUCAGGUGAAUUCAUGCUUUUCCAAGGUGAGUACUAAUGCUCUCUGCCACUUCUUGGGACUCUCUGUGAUGUCCUGGACACUCACCAUUAUUUAAGAUCCUACAUAACUUUUCACAUUGUUAGCACCAUUAGCUACUAUUAGGCGAUCAUACAUUUAAUUCUCUGAGCUUUACAUUAUCUCUUUGAUUUAAUGUAGAUAAACUGUUGUUUUUUUAAGCUGCUAAAUAUUAUUAGAGUCUGACUCUCCCAGCCUGUGCCAGUGAUGGGCAAAUUGAAUCCUAUUUUAUGUGUAAUUUCUCAAUCAGAGAACAAAGUGCUUUGGCAAUCUGGAUCAAAGGCACAAGUCAUUAUUAUUGUUGGAAUAGUGAAGUGAGCUCCUGGAAAAAUCGUGCUGACUUCUUCUUUGUAGGAUGCCUGCACUGUGGAGCCUUUGAUGUCUAAUGGUCUGGCACCAUAACUUGUGUAGAUAUAGCAUUGCCUGUAAACAGAAAGAGGUAACGAAUGAGUAGAUCAUUAUUUAUUACUUUUAAGACUUCAGAACACAACUCAGAAAUCCCAUGUGCAUGAAGCAAUCCAUAUAAGACAAAAGAUAUUAGAAAGAGAGUGAUGAGUGAGCCUUUCAUUUGAUCUAGCAGGGCCAUUCCAUUUUUUAAUUUUAUUUUUUUUUUCAAAUUCUUCAUCCUAUUUUAGAUGGACGUUCCAUCAGGAAGAUGAGGUAUUCUCACUCUACAUCUUUAAAACUGGUGUUGUUGGAAGAUCAGUGUUGUUCUUUGUGUUGUUUUUCCUGAACUCUGUGCUCCCCAAACUACUGUGAAAGCAAUGAAUAUAUUCCCAUGGCAACAGAAGCACAGAGCCUGGGAACUGAUCUCAGCAGGGCUCCUCCUCUGGCAAUCCCCAGCUGGUGUAAAUCGAGCAUUUCUCGUGCUGGCACAGGUAGAUGCUGAGGAAGGCAUCAUUUUGGGU
rnacentral:lncRNA from 1 species